GACGAACGCUGGCGGCGUGCCUAAUACAUGCAAGUAGAACGCUGAAGGAGGAGCUUGCUUCUCUGGAUGAGUUGCGAACGGGUGAGUAACGCGUAGGUAACCUGCCUGGUAGCGGGGGAUAACUAUUGGAAACGAUAGCUAAUACCGCAUAAGAGUAGAUGUCGCAUGACAUUUGCUUAAAAGGUGCAAUUGCAUCACUACCAGAUGGACCUGCGUUGUAUUAGCUAGUUGGUGAGGUAACGGCUCACCAAGGCAACGAUACAUAGCCGACCUGAGAGGGUGAGCGGCCACACUGGGACUGAGACACGGCCCAGACUCCUACGGGAGGCAGCAGUAGGGAAUCUUCGGCAAUGGGCGGAAGUCUGACCGAGCAACGCCGCGUGAGUGAAGAAGGUUUUCGGAUCGUAAAGCUCUGUUGUAAGAGAAGAACGAGUGUGAGAGUGGAAAGUUCACACUGUGACGGUAUCUUACCAGAAAGGGACGGCUAACUACGUG
rnacentral:rRNA from 1 species